GUAUUUGCGGUGUGUUCCCGUGCAACACAUGGCCAAGACGCAGGAGAACACCGCGACGCAACAGCCGACGUCGGCGAGUCCUCUGGUGACUGCUUGGUGUGUCAGGGCCUUUACUCUGUCCAAAAGCAACACAUUUGAUCUGCAACCUCCUCCAAAGCUGAUUAAUCAUGUUUAAUCUGUUCAAAUUAAAACAAAAGUCGGGGGUAUGAUGGACUAUGUUUUAGCCACAGGGAAGUUUUAGUGUUGUUACAUCAUGUGCACCCACGAGAGACAAUCCAGAACGCAAAUUAUAACCUUUGGAUUUGAAACUAGGCUAGGCUGGAAGUAGCCUUAUAUUUACCUUGUUGACAUGUUAAUAGUAUUGAUCUUAUCCAUGAACUGUUGGCUAUAACAAAAAAACAUGGAGGUGCAAGAUGUAAAACAUAUGACUCUUGCAGCAAGCAGCUAGUCAAUAGUUGACUUACCAAAGUCUGGACAGAUGGUCCUCCACAGCUAAUAAAAUAAAUGAAGAAAGAUGUGAGUGAGAAGUAAGUGGGGAGCCUAGGAGAAAGAGAAGAGUGAAGGGAAAAGGAAAAGAGCAGCACAAGGACCGACACUGAGUCACACAGCAGGACAGGAAGUCUUACAUGGAGACACCCUUCCUUCCUGUCAGCUCACUGAUCACCAACAGUGGACACCAUUCAGUCUCACAUCACAAGACACAUGGGACAAGUAUUAUGCUGGGUAGUAAUGAGCAUUGCACUUUGUUAAGGAGUUGUACUACUAUGUAUUACCCAUAGUAAAAAGUGCAGCAUCGAGUCAAGCACUCUCACACACACACAACACCAGUCAGUAGGCAAUCUUUUCAGGGAACAGUAGCAUUUUCUCACCUUCUGUUUUCGAUUGAAGUGCCUGUGAUGAUGAAAAAAUACCCAGGAGGUAUAUAUUUUAUCAUUCUCAGUGUUUUAUUUUGGUAAAAGCCUACAGGCAGCAGGAUUAGGACACACUGAAGUCUUAGCAGCCAGACAGUGCAUUUGAGCCCAUUGAUCAGCAAAAUACUUUGUAACCAAGCACAGAGUGCCAAAGGCUGAAAGAGAAAGGAGCAUUGAGUUCCAGAUUUAUAUGAAGCUCCCAUCUGUUAACAUGCUUUUCAGUUAUCUCAUUGUGCCUGUAGCCUAGCAAUACAUUUGCAUAUGAGCAUUAGAUGACUGCAAAUAUAAUUUUGACACCUUCAAAGAAAAAUGAGCGGGAUUUGAUGUAAUUUUCGCAGGCAGACACUGGCUAACUUAGCCCACACCACUAAGUGUGAUCUGUCAUAACAGAGGAAGAUGGCACAUUUGAUACCAUGCAUCAUUGCUCCACUAUUGCACCCAAUAUGGCUGGAGAUGUUGCCACUUCUUAUUUAAGAUACCUUGUUGAGUUAUUGAAAAUGAUUAACACUUUGGAGAAAUGUUUGAUGAGUUUUUUUGUAUGUUGUCUAGCAUGCGCAAUAAGGCCCAGCCAGGAAACAUAGAAGAAGGGCACACGGCAGAGAAGAACAAGUCUGCAAGGCUGAAUAAAGUCCUAAGUAAAACCGUUAACAAAGCAAAGCAGUAGUGGAGCAGGAUACAGAGCCCAGGGAUGUGGGUCAACAGACUGGAGAUUCCCACUGUCACAGGAGACUUCCCCUUCCAUAGCUCCACACAGGAUAUGAGCAAUUUCCUCAGAGCCUAGCUUCUCCAAAAUUCCCAGAAAUAAUUUCAAUGAAGAGGGUCAUAUCUGGGGCAUCUGCUACAUCUACCACAUAGAGUAUGUAUAAUGUAACUUAUGUAUGAUCAUUAUGCUGUUGCAUGUGUGAACAGUUAGCAAUUGUACAUGCAGUUGUGAUUGCACAUGAACACACUCUACUUUGUCAACACAAACAUCUCACAGUGGUUUCACUGAAAAUGAUAGAGCCCAAUGUGUGACUCAUGUUGUAAUAACCUGAUGUCAUGUGUUAGCUGCAGAGGUAUGAAUGUUUGCUCCUGACUUCUGCUGUGUCACGGUCACUUCCUGCUGCAGUGUGUUGGUGUGCGAGACAGAUAUUCUGGGUGGGGCUGUUGUGUAAUUGUACAGGCUAAACUCAGCUGUGCAACACACUGAUUUGUCCAUGCACACUUCCUGUCAUGACCAUAUUUGGAAAAAGUUUCAGAAAGGUAAAUAAACAUGCUUUGAUACC